CUUCUCCCAAGUAGCAUUUUUCUGAUAUGAAAUACCACAACAUCAUACUAUUGAAAAUUCAAAAACUUUCAAUAAAAAUGGGAUGUCGUUUUCAUUAAUAACAAAACAAGCACAAACACCCUAAAAUCAACUGGUGCUACAGCCAUUCCUUUCAUUAUAGGUGGUUGGCAAGCAAGAUAGGUAAUUGACUUAACAAAAAAAGAAAGCAUAAUAUUAUUAUUGCAAACCCCACAUAAUACAGUUCAGCUGCAGAUCUGAGAUUACAACAAGAUAAUAAACUUUCAAUCAGCCCAAAAGCUAAUUAAGUUAAAACAUCAGCGAAUUCCAACUGGGCAUUUUCAAUUUUUCAGUUACUGGCUCCUCAUGAUACCUGAAUUCCAAAUUAAAGAGGCCCCAAAUAUAAUAAGCCGUUUCCCACCAGAAAUCUAAGUGUGGGUUCAACACCUGAUCUCAUAGUACAUCAGCCAAACACCAACUUGACUAGGACCAGUAACCACAAAGCAGAAACAUGUUCCACUCAACAGAUUUGAAUUAAAUUAACUGUGGGCUCCAUAGCCAAACCCAAACAUUGAUUUCGACCAGCAAGCACAAACCAAAGACACCGCCUAGUGAACAGAUUUGUAGCACUCUAAAUGAGGAUUUAGAAACUCAGAACCUUCACACAAAAGCCAAACAGAAGCAUGGAUUAAGACCAGCAACUAGGGACUAAAGACAAACACAUAAUGUACAUACUUAUGGAAACUGUUCAUACCAUCACCGCCAGCAUUUGGCAUGACCCCACCCACCAUACACUAACCACAAACAUGAACUAAGCCAAUUAAAACAAAACCCAGGUCCGCAUUAAAAACAAAAGGGGUAUAUGGAAGUGUGGUCAAAGGGGUUAUCGCAUUGCCCAAAAAUAAACAAGAUUACAAUUAAGCACAGCUGUUAGAUUCAGUGGAAAAGGAAGGUUAGAGGAAGGAUUAGGUUUGGACUAAAAGGGGUAAAGUAGAAUGACCACAUGGUUGAAAGGGAAUCAUAUGGAAUGGCCCAAGGCUGAGCACUACAUGUGGGGGUGAUGAAGCCUCCUACUGUUUUCUAGGUUGAUCUGGAGGAUGACUUUUGAUUACAGCCAUGCAAUUGGAAAUUGGAAUUAACCGGUGAAUAUGAAAGGUGGUGGAACUGGGAAGGUUGAUUUAUUUAUUUUUUCAAUACAAUUUUGCUUUUUUAUUUUCAAAGUAAGUUGUUGUCUUGUGGGGGCUUCUGUACCAUAGCUGUACUUUUGUGGGAUCCAAUUGGGCAUGCCUUGUCACAGCCUCUUCACAUUUCCUUUUUCCAGACCGACUUAACAAUUUUUUAUUAAAUUCCUUUGACGAUGAGAACCAAACACGAUCAAGAAACUAUCUUAGAAGAAAAAUCUCAUAACAACUUAGAUUCUAUUGAAUGUAUUAUUGUAAUCAUAUAGUUAUGCACCCUUGUGUUUUUAUCUAAUAGACACUAAAAAAUUUCAAUACAAACAUUUAAAAAUAUAAUGAACCAAAUGAUUAAUAAAAAAUAAUUCUUAUUUAUUUAUUUUUUAUGCAAAUAAGAUGAUAAUACUAAAAAAAAAAAAGUAUUUAGAAUAACAUUUUCAAUGGAAAUAUGAGGAUUUAAAAGCUAGUUUUGGAGAAUUUUGAUGGGAUAGAUUGGAUUUUAGAAUUUAGAAUUUGUUAUGCAUUUAUUAUGAAAAUUUUUAUUUAAGCUACAAUUAUCUGGUGGUAGAUUUUAUUUUUGGAUGAGAAGAGAAAAAUAAAAAAUAAAAAAAAAGGUGGGAGUUUAUGGUUUGAAUGUUGAUGGCAUACAGCAAAGCACCUUAUCCCAAAGCAUCUCAUCCACCUUUUAAAUCAUCAAUAUUUACUUAUGAUCAUAUUCUUAUCCUCAACUUUUUUAUUUUUUAUGUUUGUACCUUUUUUAAAAUAUCAUCUUUUACAAAGGAUUAGUCGAUAAAAUAAUCUUGUAUUUUUUUUUUUUUGUCAAAAAUGGAUAUUUAUAGGUUAAAAUAUGUGAAAGAUUAGAUUCGCAAAUUUAAGAUUAUUCCAUCUUUUUUAAUUAAAUAACCAUAUCGGAUAACCUUCGAUUCUUGGUUUUAACAAGCUUUUAUGUUAAUUUUUUUUAAGCCAUAAGCUCUUUCAAUAAAAUUGGCUGUUAAUAAAAGCUCUUAUUAAAUUUGAUUUUUCUUUUUUUUUUUUUACUUUUCAUAAGUGCAUCUAAAUAGGACCUAGACUUAUCUUCUACACAAUAAAUUUAAAGGUUGUGUUUUUAUUUAUUUAUAAAAGAUAACUUUUUUUAUUAUCACACAAAUUCAAAAUUCAGCAUUGAAAUUGUUUCUUAAAAAAUAACUUCCAAUAGUCACCACACAAGUAAACCUAAAUUAGAAAUAAUUUUUCAACUACCAUAUUUUUUUUUUAAAAAAAAGAUAUUGUAUUUUUUAAAAUUACCCAACUUUUUGAAAUUUCUUAAACUCGUUAUUUAAUGAAUUAGUGGGUUAAAAGGGAUUAAAUAAUACAAUUUUUUUUUGUGAAUAAAACCCUCAUAUUUUUACCUAAAAAGUAACUCAUUUUUUUACAUAAAUAUCAUUCACCAUUUUCAAAUAUUUACAUAUAAAUUAAAAAAAUGUUAUUUUUAUAAAAAUAAAAUAAAAAUAUUUUUAUAAAAAAAUAGAUUAAAAAAAUAAGAAUUAAAAUUUGAAAUUUAAGUUUUCAAUGUUUUAAUUAAAUAACUGUUAUUUAAGUCAUCGCCCAUGACUUAGUUUUCAAUUUCUUCGUAUUUAGAGCAUUUUAGGAAUUAUUUUUACGCAAAAUAUUUUUAAUAAAAAUGUUUUUAGAAUAAUCAUCUAUUAAAAUGAUUUUUCAAGACUUAUUUGGUAAUUGUUUUUUAUGUUUUAAAAAUAAAAGUAUAUUUAAAAAUUUGAAAUGUUUUUAAUCCAUUUUAAAUAUUUUUAAAUAUAUUAUAGAAAUAAUUUUAAUAUCAAAUGUUUUAGUUUUAAUUAUUUUAUAUGUUUAUAUAAUUAUUAAAAAAAUAAUUAAAAGAUGUUUUUUUGAAAACAUUUUCUUAAAAACAAAAAACAAAAAAUAAUUAUUUGGUUUAUUUUUCUAUUUUUUGUUUUAAAAAACAAAAAACUGUUAACCAAACAACCCCUCAAUUUUAAAAUUUUAUCAAAUAUAAAUAUUUUUUAAAAAUCAUUUUUUAAGUUAAAAACGCUUUCAUUGCAAAAUCUAUUGUUAAUUAAUAAUAUUUGGAGCAGCUGUGUUUAAAAAUAAAAGAAGUAAAGAAAAAAUUGAAAAUAAAUAAAAAUAAAGCAAUGGCGGUACAGUUGUUCCUCUUCCUCACUUGGGCGCACGAGCGUAGCCGCAGCUUGAGUUGUCACUUGUCAGCCAUGUCCAUUAUUGAGUUGUCAACCAUCUUCAUUGUAGUGUCAAAUUGUCGUUGUGUCAUUCAUAACGUCACGUGCACAAAUAAAAAAUAAAUUAAAUAAUAAUAAUUAUUACGCGUACGUUUGAAAAUAAUUUGAUAACAAAUAGUAAUUUAUAGUAUUUAAAUAUUAAAAUUUAUUAUAAUAAUAAAAAAUUUAGAAAUCAAUAAUUUAAUUAUUAAAAAAAAAAAAGACAACCAUAAUCAUUUCAUAAAAAGACAUUCUUAUCUAUCACAAUAAAAAAUUAAUUUAAAAUUUACUUUAUAUAAUAACUAUUAUAAUAAUAAAAAAUUUAGAAAUCAAUAAUUUAAUUAUUAAAAAAAAAAAGACAACCCUAAUCAUUUCAUAAAAAGACAUUCUUAUCUAUCACAAUAAAAAAUUAAUUUAAAAUUUACUUUAUAUAAUUAACUAUUAUAAUAAUAAUAAAAAUAAUAAUAAUUUUAAAUUAGAUUUGGGAGUGACGCUGAAUGGCAUAAAGAAAUGCGGGCGGUGGACUUCUUUGAAAGAGAGUACAAUUUGUAUUUGGAUGCUUGUGUUAAUUUUAAGCACAAUUAUUAGACCAAAAAAAUAUUAUUUUGUUUACAAAAUAUUAUUUAAUAUAUUAAUAGAUUUUAUCAUAACCUGGAUGUAACAUUUUUCUAUUUUUUUUUUUAAUUAGGGCAUUUUUGCAACUUUUUUAUUUAUUAAAUUAUUUGACCAAACUAGUUGCUGAAAAUUUUAAUUAAAUUAUUAUAAAGUAAUUUAUGAAUAAACAUGACGGCAUUAAAAAGGGUUCUUUUGAAAAGGGUGUAAGAAAAAGCAAAAAAAGAAAAGUUGGCUUUCCAUAAUCAAUUGAUAGAGACAUUAUUGAUUGAUAAGUCUAGAUUUGUUUAAGUUGAAAGUUCAACCCUAAAGUGCUUUCAAAAGCUGAUUUGAGAGACCAUUAUUAGAAGUCAAGUGCGAAUUUGGUAACUAUAUAUAUAUAUAUAUAUAUAUAUAUUAAGAAUAGUUUUCUGUUAUUUUUUUAAUUAUUAUUAUUUUUAUAAAUAAUUAAAAAUUGUUUUAUAUUUUUUAUUCUUAAAAAGAGAAAAUGAGUAUUUUAAAAUAACAUUUUUUAAUUAUUUUAUAUUGUUUUCAUUUAUUUUUUAAGGAUUAUUUUAGUAAAUAAUUAUACAAAUAUAUACAAUAAUUAAAAAUAAAGUACUGAAUAUAGAAAUUAUUUUUAAAAAAUAUUAAAAACAAGUUUAAAAAAUUUAAGUUUAUAAACACACUUUUGUUUUACAAAACAUUAAACAAUAGUUUUCAAAAAAAUAUUUUCAAAAACUAUUUUUUAGAAUUAUUUUAAAAAACAAUUACCAAACAUAACAUAAAUUUUUGAUGGAUUAAUUGAAUCUAAUUAGAUUUUGAUGAGACUGAAGCAUUUAAGAGUGUUUUUACUCAAAGUAUUCUUAGUUGAAGUGUUUUCUCAAAAAGAAAUUUUAGAAAAAUUAUCCAUAAAAUAUUUCUUUACAAAGCAUUAUAAGAAAAUUUUGAAAAAUUUUAAAAGUAUUUUUAAAAAAUUUUCGAAACACCUAAUGUUUUUUUAACAAUACUUUUUCAACUAAAAAUGUUUUUUAAAAUUAUUAUCAAAUAGACUUUAUUGGAAGUUAACAAAGGGAAGAAAAAAAAAAUCUUAAAUGGAUUUAAGAUUUGAUAUUAUUAAAAAAAAUUAAAAAUUGUAUGAAGUGACUAAUAAUAUUUGGCAUUUGUGGAGGUUGUAGGUUCAAUUUCAAAUUUACAAUUUAUGAUGAAAAAAAGAAAAAGAAAAAAAGGAAGAGGUAAUGAAAAAAAAUGAAAUGAGAAAAUGACUUGAUAUCGAGUAAUUAUAAUAUUAUAAUCUUUGAAUUCUACAUUUUUCACUUAGCUAAUUCAAAUAUAUAAAUUCUAAAAAAAUUAGGCUCUAUUUGGUAAUUAUUUUUUAAAACAAUUUUGAAUAGCAGUUUUUGAGAAUUAUUUUCCAAUGUUUUCUAUAAUAAAUGUUUGUUUGAAACCUAAAAUAUUUUAAAAUGUUUUUUACAUUUUUUAAAAUAAAUUUUAUAUGUAGUGUUUUAUUUUUAAUUAUUUUUUAAAUAACAUUUACAAAAAUAAAUUAAAAUAACUAAAAUACUUUUUUUUUUUAAGAACAAAAAUACUAAUUUUUUUUUAAGAACAAAAAAACUGUUUUUUUUUUAUUGUCAAAUAUAUUUUCAUAUUUUUUUUGUUCUGAAAAACAGGAAAAAAGUUAUCAAACAUGAAUUUAGAAAAUAUAGUGAAAACUAUUUAAAAUUUUUAUAUUUUUUCCUUAUUCUUUAUAUAAAUAAGGAAUAUAUAUAGUUUGAAUCUGUUUUUUUUUUCUUUUCUUUCCUUCUCAAAUAUUCCAUGAUCCAAGCAAUUGCCGCAAAGCAACAUCAGCCAUUUUUAAACCACUCAUUUUUCAAAGGUUAUUUCAAAAAACAAUCCAAAAACAUGCUAUCAAACAUGAAAUUUUCAAAGAAAAAGAAAAUAACAAAUUGUCCUUCGUAUAAAGGAAAAGAGUGUGGAGGCAAGGGAAAGAGAGUGAAUGAAAAUGAAAUGCACUGAGGGUAAAAUGUUGAAAUGAGACCUCCUCACCCCACCUGCAUAAACACAUCCAUCCAUAUGUCUCCCUCAACCCUUUUCAGUUUUGCCCAAAAUGCUCCCCUAUCUUAUCUUUCACAAAAACCCAGAAUCCAUAAAUAAAUUUAAUUCAUAUUUUUGUAUUGUCAUCAUGUAAAGGAACAAAAGAUCUUGGUCCGAGAUGAUCGAGUGUGGCAUGAGGGGUGGUGGGGUUUGUGGGGAAGUGGUAAUUGGCCUUCCUCACCAAGGUUUCUCAUGAUAAUUUGACAUUUUGUACCCAAAUGGAAUACUUCAAACUUCAUGUCUCAUUUUUCUGCCUGACUAUUUAGAUGCAAGAAAGGAAUCAAUAUGGUCCAUGGGAUAAGAUUGGGUUGAAGUUACCAUCAUCUUUUCUUUUAGCCAACUCAUCUUUUUAACUGACUUCUACUCGUCUUUUUUAAAUUAAGAUUUUUCUUUUAGCCGACCUGCCUUUUUAAGUGGCUUCUGUUUUGUCUUUUUUAAAUUAAGGGAAGACUUCUGGACUCCUAUUUUGGAACUAGGAUUCCAAUACACUGAACCUCUGGCUGGAUGGCAUAUUUAUUUAAAGCCAACCUAUGGAGCUGUGGAGCCAGGGCCGACCACGAAAAUAGACACAAUGUUUCUGAUAUCAUAUAAAUAAGGUUUCUUGGCUUCUCUGUUCCUAUCAAUGCUUCCAAUACAUCAUCAUAACAGCUCAUUGAACAGGAGAUUGUAAGUUCAAGCCCUGAUUUCUACUCAACAACUAUCAUAGGUAAAUGAAAAUGGCUUAGAAUUGAGUUUUCUUAAAAAAUUUGGCAGGGUGCGUGUGUUUUAUGGACCAAACUUUGAAUAACUCGAUGAAUCAAAAUGGGGGAAUGGAUCCAAGGUUUGAAAAAUCAAACAAAAUACAACACAAGAUACACUAUUGUCAUUAAAAUUGAAUAAUCAGGGAAAAGUUGGUAAAAUAGCCUGUAGCUACAAGGUUAUGUGUGAAUCAUAAUGGACCAGGUAGGAUGUCUUCUUGGAUUUGUCACCUAGUCUAAACUCAUCCUGCAACUCCACAAGAAACCCAACAUUAUGAUUCAAUUUUACACCCCAAAUGGUAGUCAUUUGAGGGAGGAGGAAGGUGUGUUUGACAAGAAAGCAAAUGGGGAAUGAAGACAUGAGUAGAACUCCUGAAAAAAAUGUUGUAUUGUACACAAACUCAACAGAAACAAAAAGAUCGUCUCAUUGGACACACAGAAUUGUCACACCCUUGUCUGAGAACAUCAGUUUCAGAAACUGGAAUCAAGCAAAACCCACAUGCCUAAGUUAUCACAUGAUGGUGCAUCGGCUCCUUUCCUCUGUUGGCUGUUGCUGCCCUGGUGGAUACCUGUUUGACUCAGAUGGGUUGUACGUGAACUCGGAAGUGUCAAGGCCAUACUGAUUUACAUGCAAAAAACAGAUCACAAGGAAUAUCAGCAACAUUCGGAAGUAAUUGAAAUAGAAAGCUAAGCAAAAGGUAAAGAAUCACAAUCAUAUGAAAUUGGGGUUCCAUGUCUGGGUCUGUAUUAUAUGGUACACCAUUGACAAAAAAAAAGGAAAGAUCCACAGGGGGAUCCAGCAUGCAGAUAUUGCAAACAAUGAGACAAAUUCAUAAUCCAAGAACUAUCUGGUUCAGAAGGUAAUUGAAUUGGCAAAUUAAAUGGCCAAAUGUCAUGAAAGAAGACAGAAAUCAAUGAAGCAGUAAAACUCACAAUACUCAAAUAAUGUACAAAAUAAAAUUCAGAGGAGGGGGGGAAAGAGAAGCCAUGGAUGUUAUCAGAACAGAGCAUUUCUACAAUUUUAAAGUCUUGCUUGGAUUGGGUUCUGAGAAGCCGAAAGCUCUAUUUUAAGACAAGUCAAUUCUUUUUUCAUUUUUUUUGGCAGUUUUUGGACAGUUGUAACUAAACGGCUCAUGGUUUGUCAAAAAGCUUUCCAUGGAAGCAAGGACGAGGUUGCUUCUUGUGGAAGAUGAUGUUGAACUUAUACAGGAAGCUCUUUCAAUAUUAAUGAAACUUCUAGAAUACCAUUCUUACCCUUUUAUUUAUAAAAGAAAAAAUCUACGAAACCGACAAAUCAUGCUUUAACCUCAAACUACUCAACUCAAAGAACAGAACACGUCCAUUAGGUACCAUCAAGGAACAAUAAAUCCAACUUUCAUAAGGUAUAUUUUAUUUAUGAUUUUUCUUAUAAUUUGAAUUGCAGAGAAAAUCUUACUUUUAACCUAAAAUUUUUAGGGUUUGGGUGUGAUAAUUCUGCAUUUUGAUAUUUUAUUUCUCUCGUUUAAUUUAUUUAUCCAUUUCGAUGAUUUGAAAUUAACCAUGUUUUCAUACUAUCUUUUAAUCCAAAGGUUCUACAGUGUGACAAUUUUGUAUUUUUAUGUUUUAUUUACCUAAUUAUCUGGCAUUUGAUAUAUGAUCUUGUUCCUUUUUAUAUUGAAUGGUUCAGCAUGAUGAUCCUAGGAUUUGGUAAUAGGGUAUACUAGCAUGGAAUCUACUCUUUUCCUAUUAUGUUCAUACCUUUCUUCAUUAGCAACACCUCAAUGAACUCCUUUGUUUUUGUGUUUCAUAGAUAUAAAAAAUGCGUAUGCAGAAAUAGAGAUGAAUUAAAAUUUUCCUCACUAAAACAGUAGUAAAAAGUUAUGCAAAAACAGCUACAAUUUUUAUAUUUAAAAUUUUAGCAAGAAGAACAGUUUCUGGAAAUUCUUAUCAACCAGCUACUUACAAAACUAUAAUUACAUGAUUUUUUUUUUUUUUACAAGUUUCUUAGUAAAAAUCUAAAAAUGUAUAAGAGAUUUCACCAAGUGUGAAACAUGAAUCGUAUUACAUCAUCUUAGACCGAUUUCUUAUAACAUAUCAUGUUAGGCAUUAUUAGUAAAAACCAAAAAUUUUAGGUAGUAGUGGUUUCCUUAAAUUAUAGGUCUAUAAUUAAUUAUAUUGUGACAUUGACCAUAAAGCAACCGAGAAUACACAUUGCCAUGAUUUGCAUGGAAUCUUUAAAUUGAAUGCUAUGUGGGUUUUAAAUACAGAUGUUUCUCAAACACUCCACAUACUUUAUAACAUAAAGAAAACAAUCUCACCUUUUCUGACAUGUAUGUUUCCCCCACAUACUUUAUAAUAUAAAGAAAAAAUAAUCUCACCUUUUCCCGCAUGCGUGUACUCCAAGCAUCAUUUCUACUUGGACGCUGAUCAAUGGCACCAGCGACAGGUACACCUGUUGCUGCAACUGGUGGCCUAUUGAUCAAUGGCUGCCGCACAGAUUGUCUCUGAGCAAUGAACUCAUCAUCACUGUCAUAGUCAUCUGGUUUGUUUGCUGCUCUUACCAUAAGAGUCAACACGAAAAGCAGAGCCUGCAAGUCCCCCAAGAGUCAUUAAAUAUCAAGCAUUAUGGAAAAAUAAGCAAAUUAAAGAGUCUGUUAAAGGUACGAGACUACCAGAGGUAAUUUUAUGUAAAUACAAUCUAUUAUGUUCCAGAAGCACCACAACACAUUAUUUGGUUGGAAAAGAACAUCAUACAAUCAAUCAAGAAUACAAAAGAAUCAACCCAGUUAACAACUGAAUUUUCUAAAAUUUCAUUAAUGAAGUGCUAACAAAAGCAGAUGCAACCUAGUAUACAGGAAGCAACCUAGUUGACAACUCAAAACUGCUCUACCAUCUUGAUCAGUGACUAAGGUCAUUCUAUGGAUGUCAAGAUGGAAAUCAUGAAUUGGACAUCAGAAUUCCACCCAAACUAUAGCCAUACACAUCAAUUUGUCAUGCCUGAAGACAAGAAGAUGUAUAUACCAUGACAAUAUUCAACAGUAAUACUCACCUCAAAUUUGACACCAGCUUAAAGAGUCAACCACCAAAGAUGAAAGCAAUCGUGGAGCAAACUUGCCCCCGAAAUAUCUGAGUGUUCUUAAGCCAGGCCAAUAAAUUAAAAAGAUUUAGAAGAAACAACAUAGGGAACUGACUCACCUAAUUGCAAUCAGUGCACCUUAACUACCAUUUACACAAACAUCAAUGAACCUAAAUUUCCAGAAAACCCUACACAAGGCUUAAAAAUAUAUCAUGAUAUCAUACUUUUUACUAACGGUAAAUCCUUAGGUUGCAUAACCAUACACUGACAAAUAGUAAGAAAAAUAACAGUUGUUAUUACAACGGAUGCAAGCCAUUAUACCUUUGGACUCCAAUAAUGUUUAAAUAUUUUACUUUGGCUGCAUAAAAUCAUUUCUCUGAAAAGAUUAUGAAAUAAAACAUCUCAACUAAAAAAGCAGUACAAAAGAUAGAACAAAAUAGGUGUAAAAACAGCCAUCAAAACUGUUAUAACAUUAUAUAAUGACUGAUGACCCCUUUAAUUAAAAAAAAAAAAAAAAAAAGAUUGAAAAAGUGGCAAGUGACCAUAUGUAAAAACAGUCAUCAGAACCAUUAUAACAUCAUUCAAUGAUUGAUGAGUAGGGGCGACAAUGUGUGUUGGUGAGUCAUGUUCCUGUCGUGUCUAGGAGUGGCAAUUCGUGUAAGUGGGUCGUGUUUUGUGUCAUGUCAAAGCCUAAGCAUUCUACUACAUGGGUCUACCCAAACCCGACACGAAUAAUAAUCGGGUUAAAAAUAUAAACCCAAAUACUACCUAAUUAUUAAAUAGGUAACACAUCGUGUAACCCAUUAAACUUAUUUAAUAAUCAGGUUCUCCUAUUUAAUAAUUAGGUUGAGUGAGGCCUUCUAUAAAUAUAUAUGAUUAAUGUCUCAAUUAAACAUGUUUUUAACUCAAUUGACCUAUUUAUUUAAAAAUAAAUUUAAAAUGAGUCAGAUAUGGGUUAAAUAGUUUAAAAUUAUUAUUAGGUUAAUUAAAAAAAUUAUUAAAUGGGUUAAUUUGAAUUAAAUUUGUGUUGUGUUAAGCAGGUUGACAAAAAAACUACCAAUUUAUUAAACGAGUUAUGUAGGUUGAGACGAAUUUAAACCAAACUCGAUUAUACUCAACCUAAACCAGUAAAAUCCAUGUUGGAUUCAAGUUGUGUUGGCAAAUCGUUUUAAACUUUGUCACCCCUAGUCAUGUCAAAGUCUAGGCAUUCUAUUACAUAGGUUAAUCCAAAUAUAACACGAAUAAUAAUCAUGUCAAAAACAUAAAUCCAAAUACUACCUAACUAAUUAAAUAAGUAACACAUUGUGGAAUCCAUUUAACACAUUUAAUAAUCAAGUCUUCUUAUUUAAUAAUCAGGUUGAUUUAGGUCUUGUAUAAGUCUACAUGAUUAAUGUCUCAACUAAACAUUUUUAUUCUUCAAUUGACUUAUUUAUUUAAAACAAAUUUAUAAUGAGUCAAAUGUGGGUUAAAUAGUUUAAAGUUAUAAUUGAAUUAAUCAGGUAGAUUAUUAAAUGGGUCAAUUCAAGUCAAAUUCAUGUUAUGCAGAUUGACUAAAAAAUUACCUAUUUAUUAAACGAGUUAUGCAAGUCAAUACGAAUUUGACCCAAACUCAAUUAUACUCAACCUAAACCUAUGAAAAGCAUGUUGUGUCCAAGUCAUGUUAACGAAUCAUUUCAAACUUUGGUACCCUUAUUGAUCAGCCCUAUGUUAUAAACAAAAAAAUGCCGAAACUUGACCUUGGCACCUUAUAUAUAUUGGAAAAAAAAUCAACUGUUGGAUCCAAAUAUAUACACUUCGUUCAAUUAAGGCACAAUUCAUGGCCCAUUAAAUAAGAAAUUCGUCUCUAAGACAAGCUAUCCUCACUUUUCAAUUCCACACCAGAAGAUAAGGAGAUAUAUGUUUCUGAAUCACGAGGGAAUCCAUUCAAGAUAUCAAACAGUAGAACCAUUUUGAAGUCAUUUGAUUACAUGUGUUAAGAUAAAGCCCUUAAAAACAUGAUAUAAUUUAACAAAUUUAGAGUUUAUUAUUUACAUAAUAUUAUUCCAGUUGCGCUUUUAUCUAUCCUUGUUCCAUGCAUUAUAUUUUAUGAGCAUUCUAACUUGCAUCUCUUGCAUUGUACAUGACUUGGGUGCAUUAGGAGUUGCAUGGAAGAUCUAAAUCAUGGGUUCCUUGCAAGUUGUUGAUUUGUUGACAACCGAUUUGUGAGCUUAGACAAUCCAUUUGAAGCUAUAAUGCACUAUCUCCUAAUUAGAGGGGUAACUAGUCUUCGCAAUCAGGAUGAGGUUCCCAUGAUGAGUGCACUACUAUGUAUUAUUACACAUUGGAUAGGACUUACGGUGAAUCACAACAUAAGAAUAUUAGGUAGUCAUGAUUUCACCAAAAUAUUAUAUUGUAUUGUCUCUCAACCUUGAGAGAAUACUGAGCUUGUGCCAAAGUUGGCAAUGACUUUGACUUACGAAUGAAAUCCUAAAGUGAUCAUAUAUUUUCUAUAGAUUUGGUCAUUGUUAAUGGAAGUCAGUAGUAACAGGUAUUUUUAAUAAAGACAUCAUGACAUUGUAUAAGAUUAAGACAAUAUGUCUCCUUCGAUGAUCCUAAGAACGUGCGUUCAAGUAAACUAUAAUCAUAAUAGUUCUUUAAAUGGAACUUGACGUAAACUCUUUGUGAGCUAAGACUUGUUAGUUGAUCGCACAAUAGGAAGAUCUGUAACUUAAGGAUGGUAGAGAAUUUUGAGAGGCUGAUAAUUUUCACUUUAUUAGAUUAUAGACACCAAUUCAUGAGAAAACUAUAAACAAUGGAUAACAAGUAACGAACUCAAACACCUAGUGUCUCAUUGUAAUAUUCAUAAAGCAUUGGAAUACAAUUGACUUUCUAUAGUGGGAUAUUGAGUUAACUUUUAGAUUUUGAGGGAGCCAGUACUGUCCUAUGGGUCCCAAUGGUCCCUAUCAGAACUCAUAUACCUUGAUAAUAUGAUUUAUGAGGGUUGGAUUAGUUCUUAGUUCACUUAUGCGUAUAAGGGCAUUUUGGUAAUUACUCAAGAUUGCACAAGAACUAGUGAAUAGUAUCUUUGGAUUGGGCUAAUUAAUUAAUUGGAACCUUGUUAGGUUAAUUAAUCAAUUAAAACCAUUUUUGAGUUAGAUUAAGUGACCCAAACUUGAGAUAAGCUCAAGUCACUUAAGCCUAAUAAAAAUCCUAUAAAUACCCCUUAUAAGGUUAUGGUUUCAGUCUUCCACUAUUUUCCUUGACAUUCCAAAAAGAAAGCCCUCGCCUCCAUCUUCAGAGAUCUCCACAAUCUCAAUGCCAAGCUUUAAGGAAGAGAUAUCGAGUUAAGAUCAGGGGUCUGCGAGAUUGUCUUCGACUUCUGAGGUAUUCAACCACAAUCUUCACCGUAAAUAAUCAAUCUAGGAACAUCUAGAUCUUGGUAAGAUAUUCAAAUCUGUAAUCUAGAUCUAUAAAUUGUUUCUCAUAUUGAUAGUUUCCACUAUGCAUAGAUCUAGAUUAACCUAGGAAAUUUUGCAUGCACCAAACUAAUCUAAGGCCUAGGAAUGGAGCAAUCCAAAGUUCCCAUCAACAUGGAUAAGGGACACUAACCAACCCAAGUCUUAAAAAAAAAUGAUAAUGGUUGUUUUUUCCCAUGGAACUCAUUUUCCUUGUUCUUUGUCGUCUUAUAGCACCAUUUUUUAUCAACAAAAUCAUUUUGAGUCGAAAAAAAUAUUUGAGGAUAUUUAACUUGCAACAUAGCGACACUUGUGCGGAAGAAUGACAUAAUAUGCACAUACUUCAACACAAAGAAAAGCAUGUUGACUACCACAAUUAGAUGUAUCAACUAGCCAUAAUCACAAAGAAAUUCUUUCCAGCAUAUUUUUCUAUGAAACAAAUGAAGCCUAUAUAGAAAUGAAAUCCCAAUUUUUGGGAUCAAAACAUGAUUCGGAAAAUUGUGAGCAACCAAAAAAGAAAUGGGCAAUGAGAUUGAGCAGGAAACAGACAAGACACUACACUCACUUUAUCACAUCUAUCACUCAAUUCAGUAACAACCUUGGGUCUUCACCCCAAUUCAAUCAUUUGGAAACUAGUUGGAAGAAUUUGGAUUCAGUAGGAAACACAUAUCAGUUAGCAUGAAAUUUAAAGGUACAAAAUACUAAACUGUGAAUUUUCAAGUUCUGUGGGACAACUUAAGAUUUUAGUUAAAAUUUUCAGAAAGUCAGCUGUCUUAACAUAUUCCUUUAAUUUGGCUAGAAAUUAUAACCACCCAGCUAGUUGACAUUGAGAGAAAUCUGGUCAAAAAAUCAAAGAAGUAAUCAAAAGUCAGGUUUUUCAAAGUGAGCUGCAAAUUCAAGAUAUUAGACAAACCUAGGUUAGCACCCCAAUCAAAUUUUUCAUAAAUUAAUCAAUUAGAAACCAUGGUCCUCUGAAGGGUGAAGGACAUAAUGUGAUUACCUCCAAAAUAACAGCCGCAAGAGCAACCCACUUGACAAUUUUCCAGUUCUCUUUCAGAAAAUCAUAAAUCAUAUCAAAAUCUCCAGUUUUGUCAGUUGGAAUGUCCUGAAACAACCCUCAUGCCACUUAUGAGAUGACCAUACAUAGCAUACCAUCUUUAAAAUUCAAGACAACAAUUAACAUAACACUCACAUCCUCCCAGCUUUUGUCAAAGAAUAUGAAAGCUGCACAUCCAAGCUCUAUCAAGAUCAACAAAAUCACCAGUACUGCAUACUGAGUCAGCUUAAGGAAACCACUAUAUCAAUCUUGCAUAGUUCCAUCUAACAGAUGUUUCCCUCUUAGGAGAAAAAAGGUCCAUACAUGGUUGACUGAUGUAAAGAGUAGUCAUAAGCCCAGACAGUUAACUGAUUUAAAAAAUAGAGUCAUCCCAUGUGAAUGGCAAUGAUACAGUAGAGCUGAGGCAUGGAAAUAAACCACUGUGCAGUAAACUAUAGAUGUGUAAAAUAAUGGAUCCAUACUACAUAAUAUCAGCAAGACAUCAUAAUUGUCAUACAGAAUAGCAUCAGUGUAGAGCACUACUGUAGUUAUGCCACAACAGAUGACAAUUUAACUGUCCUUAAAUUAGUUUAGAUAAAGAAUGAAUCGAGUACUUUUUUUUUUAUUAAAGUGGAAUGCAUGAGUAAAUUAGGAUACACAAGACAAACAGCAGCCAUUCCGUGUCACCGCUCCAACACAACCAAAACAAGAUAUGACAAAGAGAAUUACUCCAAUGGCAAAAAAACAGUAUAUGAACCUGCAAAAGGAACACAGUGAUGAUGUAAAAAGAUUGGAUGAUCUACUAAAAGAUACAGAUCCAAUAGUAUCAGCACAAGAUAGUAGGCAGUCACUUAUCAGAACAUGCUGAUGCAAGAAAUUUCAAAUCAUUGCCACAAAUCAAAGUAAACAUACAGAAAUGAGCAUAUAUUUGGAGAAUAUAUAACAACGUUAAUUGUAUAAUGUCCAGUCCUCAAGCGCUAAAGGUUUGGGAUGGGUUUAUGGAAGGUUCAGGGUUCAAGUCUCUAUGGAGACAAAAAAAAUUACCUGUAAAAAAUAAAAUAAUGUCUAGUCCUUGAUGCAAGUUCCUUCAAACAGUUAAAGAAAAAAUUGCUUAACAAAUCAUGAACUUGGAGAUGUAUGUAUAUUGAGAGAGCUAAGGGUGCAAACAAGCCAAGUCCAUCUGGGUAUGACUCUGAUAAGCACAGGUCAGUUGAACUUAUAUUAUAAGUUCAAGCUCACCUCCAAUGCAACCAAGCAAAUCUUUUCAAACUCAAUUCCUCAGGAUUUGGCCUUGGUUGAGCUCAGUUUGUUUGCUAAAGUAAGUUCAACCUGCCUAACACAAUGGUCAGUAUUUCCAUCUCAUGACAAAGAUCCCAUAAAAAGAGAAAUGAACCACCUGUAUUUGGCAACUUCCUAAUUCCACAUCAUGGCCACACAUGAAAUUGGUAGAUAAGAUUAGGCUAAAUCAGGUUGAGAAAAAUGAAUAAAAAAAAUCAUGCUUGACAAAUCAUUGCAAUAGGGCAGUAACUCGGUAAUCAUAUCUUUUGUCAGAUAGCAACACACUUCAAUACCUGACAAAGGGUUGGUACAGGUCAAUUCAAAUGUGGUAGGAUCCAAAACCAUUAAACACAAACUCACACAGAAAACCUUUAAUAUCAAAACAAUAGCAUAGAAACACAAAAAGUAACAGGUUUUAUACCCUCAUUUGGUUUCAAUAAAGAAGACAAAGAGGAAAGAAGCUUCUCAUACAUUAUGGCUUCUUUCCUAGCACUUGGUCAUGGAAUUUUGAAUUUUUUUUUCUACCUUACAUGUAUGAUUUUGGAGCUGUGGGUAAAGCUUAUGAUUAUUUUGGUAUUCUCCUUUGUAAUCUUGCUUCUAUAUAUUUUGGGGUGUUUUGGAAAUAGGAAGUAGGCAUACAGAAAAAAGGAUCUCUUUGUCCUUUUGGUUUUUAACAGAUUAUGACUUAUGGGACUGUGUUUUGAUAAGUACAAAAAAGGGGGUUUCAUAACAUCUAGAUGGUGUUGCAAAAAUGACAAAAAUUCUUGUGGGCCCAAGUUUUUACAAGAAGAUUUCAGUUCUGUGAAACAGUUCCUGCAAGAGCUUUACCUUUGAGAAACUCAGUCUUUGACAAAAUUUAUGCAGUUCACCAACUACCAUUCCUGAUCUACGGUAAGAUAUUGGUCAUCCCUAAACAUUGUCAGGGUUAAAAAUGGGGUUUCUUCUGUUAAGUAAUAGACUGAAGAACAAUAGAGUCCAUUAAUUACAUUCCUUUCCUUGGAGAUAAGAUAUCAAUCAUCUCUAUAAGUGGAAGAUAAAAAAAUAAAAAAUAAAAACAAAGGGAGAAGUGCAAAACAAUUCCAGUUUUGUGAAACAGAGAUCAAUAAGGGAAAGCAUGAGCGUGAAACUUGGGUCAAGUGGAAUGACAGAGAUUGGUUCUUGUGAAAAAUAAGAAACAAAUUGUGCAAUUUCCAGAUAAUACCAGGAUCUGGUGGCAAUAUCAUCAUGAGCGUGCAACACUACCAUGCGAAAGUAUAUGCAUAUGAACUAGGUGAUAGGGGGCCCAGCCAGCAUAUGAACCAGGUGAAAUAAAUUAUCUCCACAUAUCUUAAUUGAAGACUAAAUUCUAAGUACCAUUGAACAGUGAUACAUUUUACAGGCCAGCAAGCAAUGGAAUUAUUAUUAUUAUUAUUAUUAUUUUGCAUAUGUAGGUUAUGGGUCAAUAAGAAACAUCCUAAUUCAAACAGGAUGACAUUCAGACUUUCCCCCCUUUUUAAUGAAAAUUAUAGGGCACCAAGUCAUAAUUCUAAAGCAGAAAAUUAUCCAAAAUAAGGAGGACACAACAUGAUCAAUGCUUCUCAGCACUGGUUUUUGAAAAUAAAAGAUAAAAAGUAAAAAUAGUAAUAAAUUCCAUAUAUAAAGUAAAAUCUCUUGAACAAAAAAUACAGAUUUACUUCGUGUCUUUGAAAAUCACUUCUAAAAAUUAUAGGCAUGUCUUUAAAAAUCACUUUAUGAAAUUUUAAAAUUUUAGAUACUAAAAAUUUUUACCUCCAAUUUUUUUUUUUUUUUAAAGGUUUUUAAAAUCAUUACUUUUCCAAAUGAGUUUCUAAAAGUUAAGAUAGAAGUGUAACUACUAUUUUUUUUAUUCUAAAAACAAAAGUGCAUAAGCUUAAUUAAAAGCUACAACUAAGUCUAAACAGAUACAAAUUGCCUCACUACAAUCUAUAGUGAGAGCCGCAGUCUGCACUCAUUUCUCAUCCAAAUUGGCUCCCUUAUUUUUCUUCUCACUGCCCAAACAAUCAAAAUUUAGUUAAAUUUUCUUUCCUACCCUUUUCUUAUAAACUAAGCAAAGCAUAAAAAUCUUAAAUGUUGAUCAUGUCCUCAUACUCAACUUGUAGGAGAUCUAAACACACAAAUGCAACAGUGAGAUUAAAACAAGUGAACCCACUAUAGAUUAAAACCAAACCCAAAAAUUAAAAGAGCAAGCAUACCAAGCUUUGGGCAGAUUAUCCAAAAUGCUGCUUGAUAGAGUCACUGCCAUCAUGACAGGCCGGCCGAGCUGAAUCACAUCACUGUCGCCCAUUACCGGCGAGAUCGUAAGGGUUUCGCCGGAAGAUUUUUUAUAUUCUACAAACAAGUAGAUCCCAUAUCCCACCAUGGCCAGACCCACGAGAGUCAACAAGAAGUUCAGAAUCUUCAAUAGGCAUUCUAAGCAACCUCGGCACGCCAUCUCCACAAUCCCUCCGAUCGAUUCGAAUACAAGCUGAAUUGGCGCCUUCUAUUUCAUCAAUCCACGUUCACCUUCAACAAAACACCCCCAAAAAUCAAUCACUCAGUAUAUGAUCAAGUUUACACAUUGACCCCCCUAUUCGGCUGCUGAGGAAAUGUGGAAAAGAAAUGGAAAUCAAAACUUCAAAGCUCAAAACCAAAAUCCCAUCAACCCAUCCCUACAAAGCGAGUUUCCCACUUUCCUUUUCCCCUUUCCUUUACUUUCAAAAAUUUUCUCGAUAACCAAACACAAAAACAGCAUAGUUUGACACCAACCCAGUUCCUCGUAAAUUCAGAUUUCAAAUACCCAAACAAAAAUCGAGAAAAAAAAACGCACAAAAAAACAAAAUAAACUCAACACAAUUAAGAAAAUUUUUGGUACGGAUCAGAAAUAAAAAAUCAAAACCAACAGAAGAUGAUCGAAUGGAAAAUCAAGAAAGAACCUACAGAUUACAGAGAUGAGCUUAGAGGGAGAGCUCUUUGGAUUCCAAAGGGAACCAAAGGAGAGAGAGGAAAGAGAGUUGAAUACAGCGGUGGUGAGAAUUGAUGAUCUUUUGAUUCCUUUUCUUUUGUUUUUUGAAUUUGGAGCUGGUGGCCUGUUGUCAAUUGAUAAAUACACUCCCUAAUGACGAUUUUAGCCCUUGUCGUAUGCGAAUAGACGGCUACCACCAAUAAGAAUUUUUGGGGUAGCAUCGUCAAUUCGGAGCUGAAGUGCCCACAGAUGGGUAAGAAAAAGGAGGUGUGGCAAUAGCGUUUUCUGAUAAAUGCCAUGAUAUUUGCCGCAAAUUAAAAUUUGGAAAUGCCGUAGCUACCCCGAUUUGGCAUUAACAACGUGGCAAUUUGACUUCAUUUGCCGUUAUAUUUUCCCUUUUUUUUUUUUUUUUGCCGGUUUGAAUCCUUGAUGGUUGGUUAUAACUUAUGAACUAAAAAAACAAAUAUUAAAAUUAAAAAUAUUUCAAUUUAAAUAUUUCAAAAUUAAAAUAUUAUUAUUCAUAAACUCUUUUAAGCAUUCACUUUAAUUAUUUAAUAAUAAAAAUAAUAAAACAAAAAUCAAACCAACAAUUCACAAAAAGCAAGCAUUUGAAUCAAAAAGUUGCUUUUUAGUUUUGAGAUUUGUUGGGAAAAAAAAUGAAAAAGAAAAAGCAAAAAAGUGACCCAAUAAUCAAUAAAAUAAUGCAAAAUGUGGGCAUCAUCCUCUCAUUUAUUUGGUCCCAACUUUGAUCAAUUGGGCUCUUGGUAUCAUCAUGCCAAGCUGUUCCAAGGCUUAGGGUAGGCCCACGUGUAGGUAGAGAUGGACGGUUGGGAUUCAAUAAUGUGGAUUGGACGGCGCAAGGGAAAAGGUUGUUUAAAGAUACCCUCUUUUGAUUUUUAUUCCGUUCAUUUGGGUAGAAGUUUGAAGGCAUUAUGGUAUGGGGUUAUUUAAGUCAUUUUGAAAAAGAAAAAAUUUUAGGAAUUUAUUUUAAUUAUCUUAGGUUGAAAAUGGAAGGACAAAUUUUGUUUUCCUUUAAUAUUAAUUAGAUGUUAGGCACAUAAUUUGAAUUAGGUGAGGGUCAAGGGUUGAAGACUUAAUUGUUUUUAGCUUUGAAAUAAUUAAAUUUUUCUAAAAGUUAAAUAAUAUAGAUAUAGAAAGGAGGGGAAGAUAGAUAAAAUUUUGUCAUUUUUAUAUCAUUUUUUUUAUGAAUGUGAAUAAUUUGAAAAUAAUAUUUGAAAUCUUCGAUAAAAUGAUUAUAAAGAAAUUAUGUAUUGACUUUUUAUGAUAUUAAUAUAAAAUUUUAUCAGUAUCGUGAUCUUGAACUGUCGUUUAGAUUAUAAAAUUUAUUUAUAUAUUCAUUAUACUACUUAACGGUUAAGACAUUUUCGUAUUUAUUCUCGUCAAAUCACUUAGAACAUGUUUUCAGUCGCUUUACAUUUGAUUAGGUUUUUUAGAAUUUUGACCUUUACUUUUUUAUUGUGCUAAAAUAUAAUAGCAAUUUAACACGAACACGAAACCAAAAUCUUUUUAUAAAGAAUCCGACAUAAAUAAAUUUAUUUAUACAUGUUCGGUAAACUUAAAGGUCAAGACAUUGUCGAGUUUCUUAACUACGACAAGUUCCACAAAGUAAUAGAUUUCACAUAUCAUAUCCUUUGUCACGUCAAUUUUAUAAAAACUUUAUUUAUUUAUUUUUUAUUGUACUUAAAUACGAUGACAACCAACUAUUGUCAAUGAUCGAUUAUUUUGUAUAUGAAAUCAGACAAAAAUAAAUAAAUUUGAAUACGUAUAUUAUAAAACACAUGUGAAAAAAAAAAGUAUUUUAUAUAAACCUAGAAAUUAUAAUAGAAUUGUAGUAGAAUAAGAUCAUGAUAUCAAACAAGAAUCUUAUUUUAGCAAAUAAGAAAAACAUGAGCUUUCAUAGAUGGUAAAAAUUUGUAUAGGUAAGAUGUAGAAUGCAUGUCUUACAAUACAUAAUGUCUCCUAAAAUAAGGACGGCAUUGCCAUGACAAUAAGACAGAUGUCCUUUUUCAUAAGUUUCUAAAAUUAAAAUAAAUAAAUAAAUAAAUAAAAUGGAGGGAAAGAUCCAACGGUAGGUCAAGACAUGAACUACCAGUCAAAGAGACUAGGCUGAAAGUAUGAUGGAAAAGAAGCCAAUAAUUGAUUAGCUGUCAUUAAUAAUUUCACAACCAUGUCACCCCAAUUUCUUCAUCUUUCACUGUCUACCAUCUACUUCUUGUCUUCCCUUUUUUUUUUUUCUUCUUUUUUAAAAUUCUCUUAUUUAUUUAAACUCCUUAAAAUGAAAAAUGUGAAGAAAAUAUUAUUCAUUCAUUGCAAAGUAAAAAAAUUAGAGUGAAUUUUUGGGUUUCUUGUUAAUUAUUUGCCUUUUUUUUUCAAUUUUUUUUCUUUAUAUGCCAAAAAUAUUGACAAAAAUUAAUGAGUUCCUUCACUGAUUGCAGGUUUGAGUUUUAUGAAUGAGUUCAUCUCUUCUUAUUAUAUGUCAUUCAUUCCUCAAUGCUUGCUUUUUAAUUCUUGGUCCCUUUUUUUAAAAAAAAAUAAAAAAUUCUCUAUAUGUGAUAAAGAUGGACCAAUUUUUUUUUUUAAAAGUUACCACUCGAGUCUAUUUAAUAGUGAUUCUAUAAAACGUUUUUAAUAUUUUUAAUAUUUGAAAUUUUUUAUCAUUCAAGUGUUAGUAAUGCUAAAAAUGUUUUCUAAAAUAACUAACAAACGCAUUCUAAGAAAUGUUUUGGAAUGCUCUAAGAGUGCAUUUGAGGGUAAUUUUAGAAAGCAUUUUUAGCAUUAUUAACACUUAAAUGAUAAAAAAUUUCAAGUAUUAAAAAUAUUAAAAGUGUUUUCUACAAUCCCUAUCAAACGGGCUCUUACAUUUUGUUCGGUAGUGAUUCUAAGAAACGUUUUUGUUUUAAGAAACAUUUUUUUUUUUUUAUAUAUAAAAAAAAUUAGGUGUUUGGCAAAAUUGAGCACAAAAUCAUGUAAUCCCAUGUGAUGAAAAUGAUUUGUUUAUGGGCUUGAUCGCUUAAGGAGAAAGUGAUUUUCUACCAAGUGUUAGGCUAGUAGAAAGCUCUUUCAAGCGGUUAGUUCAAUUGAGCUAGUCAACCUCCUAUACUCCAAUCAGGACUUCCUCUUAGGCAUCAUCCACUUUCAAGUUGAAGGAAGAAAGUCGGCGUUUAUGAUGAAAAUAUUUUUAAUUAGUGUUUAUAUUUCUUACACUUAUAUUAAAAUGUUUUUUCUUUUUUUGAAGAAUUAAUUAGUUUUUUUAAUAUAUAUAAAAAAAAUAGUGAUUUUAUAGUGCUGUAUGGAGAGGUGGCUUGAGCCCAUAGCCUCCACUAAACUAAGUUAUGAUAUUAUGUUAAAUUAUUAAUUUUUAUAUAUUAUUCUUUAAUGGUUAGGAAUAAAAAAAUUAUUUAUAUAAAAAAUGUAAUUUAAUUUAUAUUUUUAAAUAUUGUUUUUGAAGUAAUAAUUUUUUUUAAUAUCUUAAAUUUGUAAAUAGUUUUUAAGAGUUAUUAUUUUUUUAAAGUAAAUUUCAAAAAGUUCUUAUCUUAUAUAAUUAAAAAUGAAUUUUAGGAGAAAAAAUAUUUAAUAAAUAUUAUUCCAAUAAUUUACAUAAAUAAUUCUUUAAAUUUUUAAAAAUGAUUUUUUAAAAUGUUGUUAAAUAUUUGAUUUUUAUAAUGAAAAUAUUUUAAGCAUUAACAAGCGCUUAUAGAUAUCACAUAAGCACUGCAAAAAAGUUCUAAUUAUAAUAAUUAAAAAAAAUCCUCUUUAAAAUUAAGGAUCGUCUAUUUAAUUGUUUGCUAUUUUGAUUUUAAAAAAGAAGAGAAAAGUGAUCUCUAAAGACAAGAAUGAUUGGGCUUCAACAUAUGAGCUCUAGGGUUGAAGCCUGAGCCCACAAAACAGGAAAUGGGCCCAUCUUGGCCAGGCCCAGUAACUAGAAGCCAGAUUUUGUUAAUUUUGCACGGGCUUGAACUCGCACUUGAUGUCAUCUAUUAGCUACUAAAAAGCGAAUUUGAAGGUUCCCUAUUCCCUUUUUUUUAAAAAAAUUUUUUUUUUAAAUUUUUUAUAAAUAAAAACAAAAACAAAAUUCUCAAAAAAAAAAAAAAAAAUCUAGUAGGGACUAGGGAGAUAUGGAUUUUCUUUAAAAUUAAAAGCAUAGUUAUACUGUAUGUUUUUUAUUUUUAUUUUUUAAUUAUUUGUUAGGAAAAAAACCAUAAACGGUAAUAAUGAUAAUAAUACAUAUAAACAAGUAGAAAGGAUAAAAAAAAAAGUAAAAAUGAUCAAGAAUGAAAAAUGAUUUAUCAAACAAAUUAAAAAAUAAAAAUAAGGAUAAUGUUGUAAAAUAAAGGAAUUAGAAAAACAAACUGAAAGAAAAAAAAAACUAUUAGAAAAAACUUAGUGAAUGAAAAAUAGUAGAAUAUUUCUUGGAUAAUUAUGACUGUCUCCUUAAAAACUUAUUGGGUAAAACCCAGUGGGACAAAACCUAGAUAAAGAAAAAAAAAUUGUAGUAUAUUUAUAUUAGUAUUCUCUCUUUAUGCAAAUAUGAUCAUGUUUUUUUUUCAACACUUAAAAUGGUAGAUCUCUCAAUCUUCUCAUUUCCAUGUUUAUAUUAACUUUUUUAUUACAGUCAAAGACAAGGUCUUUGUGAAUAGAUUUGUUAGAUUAUCACAUGACCAAAUAUAUUGAAUAUCGAUUUCACUUUUAUCUUGGAGCUUAUAAGUAUAGAAGAAUUUGAGACAAAUAUGCUUCGUUCUAUCAUCUUUUAUGAAUUCUUCUUUAAUUUAUACAUUACAAACAACAUUAUCUUCAUGUUACUUAGUAGUGUUAUCCUUGAUGAAGGAUAGCCCUUUUGAUUCCCGAAUAUGUUUAAUCAUUGACCUUAGACAUACACAUUCAUUACUUUCUUCAUGAUUGCAAGAAUCUCUGAAUGAUUUGAAGUAGCUACCAUUGUUUGAUUCUAUGAUUUAAGAAUGUGACAACUUAGUAUAUGAGCUAAUAGCCAAUACUCUCUCCUUUCCUAGGACUUCAAUGUUUUCAAGUUGGUAUAAGUCUAUACCUUUCUAGUAAACUCACAAAAAAUUAUAUAUCUAAUCUUAUAUAAUUUACGAGAUACAUCAAUGCACAAAUUAUACUGAGAUAUGAUAUUUUUGGACCAAAUAAUUCUUCAUUAUCUUCUUUAGGAUGAAACAAGUCUUUGUUCACUUCAAGUAUGUGAACAAGCAUGAGGAACUUAAUGUGUGUGAUCUAUUCAUAUGAAAGGGCUUUAAGAUUUUCUCUAUAUAUGUUGAUUAAUGAACAAACUUUCAAUUUAAAAAGUACUUAAUCUACAAGACGAGACAAAAUUUUGUUUUUCCAAAAUCUAUCAUUUCAAAUUUCAUUUUCAAAUAGUCAAUUAUUCUUAUGAGCUCUUUAGGAGUUCCAAGAAGAUUCAAAUUUUCCACAUAUACUAUACUGACCAAAAAAUGUUAUUCCACUAUAUGUAAGGUGUUGUAAUAUGAUCUCUAUUGAAUUACCCAAAUUAAUGUACAAAUGUGAAUUACUUAUCAAGGAUUCUAUGAUUUUUGUUUUCUAUAUAUCCACAUAUAUCUAAACUACUUGAUCAAGAAAAAUGCUUAUAAAGACAAUGAUCAAAUAAAUUAAAUAUCCAUAAAAAUGUGUGCAAAAUAAAUUAUACUACCAUAAUUAAUAAUAUAUAUUUGCUCUAGAAGUUUUGCUUUCCAAUAGUUAAAACCUUAUAUAUCUUGUGAUUUUAUUUCAUUUUUAUCUUAAUAUACCAUCAAAGCAACAUUGCAGCUUCUAUUAGCACAACAUUUUAGAUUUUACACUUUAUGCAUGAAUAUUUGUUUAUCAAGUUACUUUUAAGAUGAUCUUCUUGAUUUUAUUAUUAGAGAGUAUGACAUCCAUUCUAGGUUCAAAUCCUACGAGUUUAAAACUAUUUAUCUAAUAUGGUAUCAGAAUCUCGUUUUAUAAAUAGUUUUAUUUCUUCACUUUAUUAAGACUAUAUGUAAACCUAAAGGAAGAUAUUUUUGGUAUGUUUGAUUAUUAUAUGCCUUCUACGUGAAAGUAUGAGGUUCAUGUGAAGAAGGAUUUUGGAGAACAUAAUAUACAUCAUUAACCUAAAUUGUACUAAUUUAAGCUUUUAGAAAUAUUGGUUAUCCAAUAAUAUUUCUUUUAAUGUUAUUAAAUGUCAACAAAGUGAAACCUAUAAUAAUUCAAAUUCUUUGGCCAAACAAUAUUUUAAACGGGAUUUGAUGCUUAAUGGUUGUAAUUGUUGGAAGAUUGCUCGAGUUUCCUUGUCUUACAUAGGAAAAUGAUAGGAGUUGAAAAGUGAUUGAUAGUGGAUCCUACUUCUUUCAUCUCAUGGAAUUAUGGAGAAAAAAUAGAAGCCUACACUUGAAGGAGACCCAAACCCAUUUAGUGGGAUUUCAAACACUUGAUCCAAAAUUUACUUUUAUUGGAUUAGCAAAUUAGCCCAAAACAAAGUUUACCUUUUACUUAGUUUUGAUUCCAUGUAUGACAAUCAACAAUGUUUAGCAACAUUUGUUCUUUUUCUUGAAGCCUAUUGGUUUGUUAAUUGAAAAAAUAAAAAAUUAUUUUUCUCCUCUUUUGUAUUGUGCAAAGAAUAGAGAACCUCCUUGUAUUGAAAUUCAAAAACAAAAGACCACUUAUCAUCAUUUUUUAUGCCAUUAAAGAAAGACAUGGUUGGGGAAGUUAAGGAACUUGCUUCCAAAGCUAAUAUGCCAGAAGAGAAGCCUAAGAAUAAUAAAAACAAUAAUAACAAAAAUAAACUUUCAAAUAAAAAAUCCAACUCAAUUUUAUGAAGUCCAAAACCUUAAAUUAAAAAGAUGGGGCUAUAAGAAGAUCAUCCAACUAUAAGCAUAUAUAUCCAAAAUAUCAAAAUCAUUAGAGUAUCCAAAAAACAACCUAAAACAAGAUCCAAAAUAUGAUAUGAGAAUGCAAAAUGACUUAGAUAUAUGAAA
rnacentral:lncRNA from 1 species